rnacentral:rRNA from 1 species
GACGAACGCGUGGCGCGUGCCUAAUACAUGCAAGUCGAACGCAGUUUUCUUUCGACCGUAAGGCUUGCUACACCGAAAGAAAAUGAGUGGCGAACGGGUGAGUAACACGUGGGUAACCUGCCCAUCAGCGGGGGAUAACACUUGGAAACAGGUGCUAAUACCGCAUAAUUCCAUUUACCGCAUGGUAGAUGGAUGAAAGGCGCUUUUGCGUCACUGAUGGAUGGGCCCGCGGUGCAUUAGCUAGUUGGUGGGGUAACGGCCUACCAAGGCUGCGAUGCAUAGCCGACCUGAGAGGGUGAUCGGCCACACUGGGACUGAGACAUGGCCCAG